AUACCAUGAUGAGGACAUCUCCUGAGUAACUCCUUAAAUCUCUCUCAUGCAGCACACAAGCUCUCAUCUUCAAGUUAAUGGAAAGAUGUGAUCUCGUUCCUCAACUU
rfam:Citrus clementina cultivar Clemenules unplaced genomic scaffold scaffold_3, whole genome shotgun sequence.